rnacentral:lncRNA from 1 species
GCGAAGCUCUAGGAAGAUCCACAACUGCAGGAGUGCUAGCUCGUGCAGAGGUGCUGCAAUGGCUGAACUUUCCUCCUCCGAAGCACUCAACUUUUGAUUCUUCUUCGAGAGGAUGAAGAUUGGAGAUGAAGGAGAAGGAGGAGAGAGGGCGGCUGGCUCUCAGAAAUUUUUUAGAAUUUAGAACCCUUUCUAAAGACCAUCUCUUGUAAACCCUAGGCGUGGGGUUCUUUUUAUAGCCAAAAGAACCCCCACGCCUCACACCUCUUUUGGCCAACGAAUUUGGCUGAUAAAAUUUCCAAAAAAUUCUCGUAAAUCGGCAGCUAAGAGGUGAAUAAAUUCUCUUUAAUCUUGUGCCAUGAAUCCCUAAAAAUCAAGGGGUUAUUGCGCCCCAAACUUCAGCUGCACGCCACCCUGCUUGAUGCACCAUGCAGUCCCUACAAAUUAGGGAUUUGAUUGCUAUCUUUUUAGGAAGCUUUGAGGCGCCAUAUUUUUCUAAAAAAUAACCCCACGCCUCCUCUUUCCUCAUGCUAAAAAUUGGUCAAAAAUAAAGAGGAUAGGCACUACUGCUUUUAGGGAUAAGGAUGAGGUGUC